GAUGAACGCUGGCGGCGUGCCUAACACAUGCAAGUCGAGCGAACGCACCAGAAGUUUUCUCCUCUGAUGUUAGCGGCGGUCGGGUGAGUAACACGUGGAUAACCUACCUCUAAGACUGGGAUAACUUCGGGAAACCGGUGCUAAUACCGGAUAAUAUUUUGCACCGCAUUGUUCAAACGUGAAAUACGCUCUUGCUGUCACUUAUAGAUGAAUCCGCGCUGCAUUAGCUAGUUGGUAAGGUAACGGCUUACCAAGGCGACGAUGCAUAGCCGACCUGAGAGGAUGAUCGGCCACACUGGAACUGAGACACGGUCCAGACUCCUACGGGAGGCAGCAGUAGGGAAUCUUCCGCAAUGGGCGAGAGCCUGACGGAGCAAAGCCGCGUGAGUGAUGAAGGUCUUCGGAUCGUAAAGCUCUGUUGUUAGGGAAGAACAUAUGUGUAAGUAACUGUGCACAUCUUGACGGUACCUAAUCAAAAAGCCACGGCUAACUACGUG
rnacentral:rRNA from 1 species